GACACCUAUGUGAUGUCAGAAACCCCAUCCUGGUCCUCAUGGCAGCACAAAUGGAGGUGCUGGCUACUGCAAAAUCUGAGGGUGGAAUGGACUGACAUCACUACACAAGAAGUGCCACCACCCCUCGGCUCCCAGUGUGGUCAUGAUGGGCCGUGUUGGAGCCAUGAGCGAUGGCAGCAUCCUCCUCUCCUUGUUUGUCCUGCUGCUGGCCACUGCGGCUGUCUGGCUGGCCACUGGCCACUGGCAACAGCGGGUACUGGGGACACCGAAGAACCCAGGGAGCCAGGCCAGGGGCUCUCCAAGCAGCCAAGUAGCUCCAGUGGAAGCUCCCAGUUCCUCCACAGCUCAGGCAACCGCUCCCCAGCAUCCAGAUGCUCCUGUGAACCCCGAGUACAUCCCCUGUGGCUGUGGCCCCAGCUGCACCCCCUGUAUGGCAGUGGCCCAGGAGCUGCAGGAUUUGGUCAUGUUGGUGUGGGUUGGGAAUGGGAUGUCUUUCCCACUGGAUUCUGAGAUGUGGCAGGUGUUGUGGGAGAACCUGGAGGAGUUGGUGGAGUGAGGCCACCUGCCCUGCUGCAGCUCGUCCAGCUCCACCAAGAGCCCCCAUUCCUCCAAGAGCCAGCUCCCGUGGAGAACCUCUGUCCUUCCAAGAGCCCUCAUCCGUCGGCAAGCCUCUGUCUUUUCAAUAUCCUCAUUCCUGCCAAGAACUCGAUUCUGUAAGAGAUACUCCAUCCUUACAAGAAGAUCAUGCCAUAGGAGAGCCUUCAUCCCUCUGAAAGCCUCCAUUCCUUCCAAGAGCCUCCAUUCCUCUGAGAGCUUCCACCUUCCAAGAGCCUGCAUUCCUUCCACAGACCUCUGUUCCCCUGAGAGCAUGCACCUUUCAAGAGCUUCCAUUAGUUCCACAAGGUUCCAGUCCUCUGAGAGCCUCACUUCUUCCCGGAGUCUUCAUCCCUACAAGAGCUUCCGUGAGAACUGCCAGACUCCAGAUGGAGUAGCCCUCAUAGACCACUCUCCCUGCUCCCUUGAAGCUGCAGGUAUCAGCAGAACUCACUCAUCCCUGAAGAUGCACAUGACCAAGGAAAGCCUGGAUGUAAAAAUGGGAGCCCAGCCCAUUCCAGUGAUGUGUUCCCAGGAGCAAACAGCACAGCAGGAAGAGUCCUGGAGCCACCAGUGUCCACCCCUUGACUCCUGGGAUACUGUGGCAGUGCCAACUGGGAACACCCCCUGUGUUGGAGAAGCACAGAAGAGCGCCCUCAGUGCAGGAGAAGAUCCUCCAGUGGCAGAGGAAGUUGCAGAUCCCCCAUCUCCAGGGAGCUCUCCCCAGCCAGAUGUUGAGGACCAGGAUGAGGUUUCUGUUUGCAGCUUGGAUACUUCUGCAGAGCAUCUGUGUUAAAUAAACCAGCUUCUUCCUGAAGA